UAGGACGGUCAAAGCGACCUGGUUAUACCCGAACUCGUCUCGAUCUCGGAAGUCAAGCAGGCCCACGUUUUGAGUUGUACUGUAUUUUAUACGGGAACCUCAAAAAGCUGUCCACU
rnacentral:rRNA from 1 species